UUGUGCCAAACAUGCUUUCCUUUCCAUCUCAGCUCUGUUCAAGUUGUCUAAGCUACCACUCAAAGUUUGACAAUUGCAGCUCAGACUCACUCACCCCUAUGUUGAAGAAUUAAGAAGCGAAGAUACUUCCAAUGGAACUAUUAACAGUCUCUUAGAACCAUAAUGGGCGCCAUCACCUUGAUGCUCUGGCAUCAAAAUCAAGCUAUGCUUUUAGGAGUUCAUAUCUUCCAAGGCAGUGCAACUGGCAAGCAUCCAUCUGGAAGAAUGUGACAUCCUCAAUUAACUUUGGUCAAAUUCUCCUCGGGAACAUCAAUCAUAUUAAGCUUCUGCAGCUUGCUCAAAGAAAAACAAAACCAUAGUUGAAUUACAUGUGAAUCUGCUAAGUUCCUUCUUGUUGAUUUAUCCAUGGUUUGACAAGUCUAACAGUGUUUGUGUUGCAGAAAUAAUUUAGUGAAGGAGAAAACAGCCACAGUUUCAGAAAUUGCUGUAAGGAUAUUGGAGUCAUUUUGGAGGGAGCAGCAUCUCCUUGUGUCAAUAGCCUCACGUCUCAAGUGUGAAGCAGAGCAGCAACGACAACAACAUCAACAUACAGCCUUCAUGAGAUUAUAGCACUCAGUUCCGACCUCCUUUACAUUUCAAUCAAAUCUUCCACACCUUUUUCUUCCACUGCAACCCCUACUCAGUGUUGUAAGAGCUGGAGAGUUGAAGAGAAGAACUGUCCACAAUGAAGAAAGCUCAGAAUGUUCUUGGAAUCGAUCGGUGCGGGCAGCUGAAGGAGAAUUCCAAAGGGAUCGCAUUGAUCUCUUUAUAUAUCUAUAGUCUCGAGUGAUCAUGCGAUUCCUUUGGAAUUUUCCAUCUGUUGCUAUAUAUUUCUCUCUCUCUCUCUCUCUCUCUCUCUCUCUCUCUCUCUCUCUCCACUUAGCCAGGAAAGCAGAUCCUACAGGUGAUGGUUAAUGUGAUGGUAAAUCCAGAAAUAUUUUGUCUAGUUGAUUUCUUUCUCAUUCAUGACUCAGUGCCUUGUUCUUGCUGUGAACGAAUCAGUGCCUUCUCUAUGAGCUUCUAAUUUUUUGCUUUCAACCUGAUCCUUCUUGAGAAGCUCCAUGGUAGACGUUUUCCAGAGCUUCUUCUCAGCAUAAGCUGUUCUUCAAUUGAUAUUCUUGAUAUAUGCUUCCUAUUUGCUGAGCUAUUCUUGAAGCCACAAUAGAGUGGUGGUAAGAAGUUUCUCAAUUGAUUUCACUCUUCAACAGGAAGAAGAUACACCCAGAAGACAUGAAAUUCUAGAAUUAGUGUGGUAUGAUGAACUAAUAAUUCUUUUACAGCAUCUUUGCAGGUUUUACAGUUGAGCAAAAAAUAAAUUUAGCACAAUUUUAGGCAGUUCCUAAUACAAGAGGGACUACACCACUAUCCCUUACUCCUUGCUGCAAAACAGAGUCCAACACUGUGACUAAUGCUUGCCUGGUUUUCUUAUGAGAUUUCUUCCAUUCUUCUACCAAACAUAUGCAGUGAAUUGGGUUAAUAGUUGCAAAGACUGUAUCAAGAAUCAUCAACCACAAGGCAAGGAGUUCAAGAAAUGCAAACUGCAAGAUACAUUAUAUAUUUUGAGCUGUCUGCUAUGUAAGACAAGUAGGAGGUUUACAUCAACAAGCUUGUGUCAAACUCAACCAAAGUGUUUCUUAUGCUCUCAUGGUAAAUGAGCAAAGCAAAGGAAAGCCUUUUAUAGUAUGCUUUGUUUGAGGAGAUGACACUAAAAUUGAGUCAAAUCACAAGGUGGAACUGUGGGCUCUUCUGCAUGAAAGCUGGUCUGGGAAAACAAUGUAUUAAAUAGUGAUGCCAAUUUGAUGGCAACACCUUUAUUUAUUGAAGUAAUGCUCUUUUACACUUAUUUUAUUGAACAUUCAGUCUGAUAAAGAAUCAGCUUGUAUAAUAAUAUUAUUUUUCCUAUUA